rnacentral:lncRNA from 7 species
GAAUUCUACAAAUACAAUAAUAAAUAAUCAAUACAUACCGUUCUGAUUCUUGAUAAGGAAUCCAUCCAUUCUAUCUCUAUAAACAUAAAAUUUAAUUUUAUCAACUAACCUACUAACCUAGCAAAUAAUUGAUUAAGCCAAAAUACCAAAUAAUCUUACUUUUUACCUAGCAAAGUAGCACUAGCAGCCACACACACAUAACAGACUAACACGCACAUAGCAGACUAGCAGCCACACGCUGCUCAGGAUUCCUUCCUCCAUGGUGGUCGGUCGGAGCAGUAAACGCAGGAGCUAGCGAGGGCGAGCUGCUCACGGGAAAGCGGGAGGCCGAGCGCGUGCCGGUGCCACGCCCGCGAGGCUGCGAUGGAGCGCCGCCGCGCCGGCGCCCGACGAUGGACAUCCCUGUGCCCCUGUGGGAGUGUUGGCUGUCGCGGUGUCUCUAAGACUAGAGAGAGCGGCGGCUGGACCGUGUUCAUGGGCACGAGGUCGAG